rnacentral:rRNA from 1 species
UACGGAGGGUGCGAGCGUUGUCCGGAAUCACUGGGCGUAAAGGGCGCGUAGGCGGCCUGCCAAGCGUGUGGUGAAAGCCCGGGGCUCAACCCCGGGUCGGCCGUGCGGACUGGCGUGCUCGAGCACUGUAGGGGCGGGUGGAAUUCCGGGUGUAGCGGUGGAAUGCGCAGAUAUCGGGAAGAACACCCGUGGCGAAGGCGGCUCUCUGGGACGGUACCGACGCUGAGACGCGAAAGCGUGGGGAGCAAACAGG